rnacentral:lncRNA from 1 species
UGUGUGUUAAAAAAAAAACCUGGCCGUGAUCUGAGAGCAGAGGCAGAAGAGUAGAAGAGUGUGCGUGAGGAGGAGCGCAGUGCAGCUGGGGGAUUUUUUCUGGACAGUAGGGGGCUUCCCUCCGGCUCACGCUCAGGAUAAAGGCGCGAGGCAUCAAGAGCGAAAGUAAAAUGAGUGAAGAGCUCGAGGACAGCAGAUUGGGGGGGUGUGAACACAUCUGCUGAAAUACAGCGAGCUGGAUUCAGUGAACGCAGGCGGAUAAUUACAGCGGAACAGAGAGAGAGACAGAGAGAGAGAGCACGAGGCUGAAUGGAGCUGUGCGCUCAUCUGGAGGAAGAGCUGCUGCUGACUGUGUGGAGCAACUGGCUCACAGGACCAUGAGGAUAUGACCUUGGAUGGUUACCAAAAAGACGUGAUGCGCAACAAAACUUGGACAUGCUGGAUUUUUUUUGCUGGAUUUGUUUUGAGCCUGGGUGUUGCUCGGGAUUGCAAUUUUUUAUUUAAAAAUCACAUAACUGAUGAAUUGUUAUUGGAUCAUUGGUUUGAGAUCCGAUAUUUUCAGCACCCUGAUGAGACAGUCAAGGACGGCUAUACUCUUCUUUCCAUUGUUAACAUAAUGUGUACCAGCUUGAAGAAGUAUGGCCAUGACUAUGAUGACCUUGAAAAAAAUGAAAGUCGUAGACAGGUUACAGUGUCAUACAGAAUAUUAGUUAAUAAAAUUCUAAAUCUUGAAAGCAAAGACGACAUUCCGGCAGCCUGUGAGAGGCAUGCCUGCAACUACUCUUUCAGUAAAAGUUAUAUCAGCCCAGAUGAGCUGGAGAAAGAGUUUCGUAAAGAAUGUGCAUGGAAUGGAACAUUGCCAGCUUGUCCAUCGCCACAGACUACAUCUCCUUCACCAUCACAAGUCAGCCAUGCAACAUCUACACCUUCACCUACCAAUUCACCAACAUCUACUCCAUCUCAUACUACCACCCACCAAAGCACGAGAACAACGACAUCAUUGUCAUCACAACCCAGGAAUAUGACCUCCCCAUCUGCAUCUAACAAUACAAAGACACCUCCAGCAUAUCAGCCAACGUCUUCUACUAACGUCACAGAAAACAGUGGAAAUAUGCAAAAGAAUCAAGCAGAUCUGGAAAAAAACAACCUGGAAAAAAACAAAGAUAAUAUUUUCUUAUCAUUAUUGACUGUAUCCUGUACGGUCAAUGUUGCUUUGAUUAUCCUUGUGUUGUGGCAGUGCAGGAGCAGGCGUCCAAAUAAUCUUCAGGUAAGAUAUUUAUUUAAAUUCCUUACAUUUAUGUGUUUUUUUUGUGUGGAAGGUGACAUAGAGUACCAGUUGAAAGUCUGCAUUGUAGAUUAAUACUAAAGUCACUCAAACUAUGAAGAGAAUUGUAUACAAAAAAGUGUUAAAUAUUAUUUUACAACCUAUUUCAAUGUCCAUUGCUUCAUUUACAUGCACUGGUUUUGUUCAUAAGGACAAAAAAAAUCAGUAUGUCCAGUUGAGUUUGUCAUUGUCAUUGUGGUGAAGAUUUCGGUGAAAAUAGAUUGACUCAGGAGGAAGAUGGUGGCUUCCGUGGUAACAAGUUUCUCUGAACUUGUUCUACUUAAUCUUCUCUUUAUUUUCCUUAAAUAAACCACUGCUACUUGUUCA